AGGGUUCGAUUCUGGCUCAGGAUGAACGCUGGCGGCGUGCUUAACACAUGCAAGUCGAACGGGAUCCAUCAGGCUUUGCUUGGUGGUGAGAGUGGCGAACGGGUGAGUAAUGCGUGACCGACCUGCCCCAUACACCGGAAUAGCUCCUGGAAACGGGUGGUAAUGCCGGAUGCUCCGACUCCUCGCAUGGGGUGUCGGGAAAGAUUUCAUCGGUAUGGGAUGGGGUCGCGUCCUAUCAGGUAGUCGGCGGGGUAACGGCCCACCGAGCCUACGACGGGUAGCCGGCCUGAGAGGGCGACCGGCCACAUUGGGACUGAGAUACGGCCCAGACUCCUACGGGAGGCAGCAGUGGGGAAUAUUGCACAAUGGGCGCAAGCCUGAUGCAGCGACGCCGCGUGCGGGAUGACGGCCUUCGGGUUGUAAACCGCUUUUGAUCGGGAGCAAGCCUUCGGGUGAGUGUACCUUUCGAAUAAGCACCGGCUAACUACGUGCCAGCAGCCGCGGUAAUACGUAGGGUGCAAGCGUUAUCCGGAAUUAUUGGGCGUAAAGGGCUCGUAGGCGGUUCGUCGCGUCCGGUGUGAAAGUCCAUCGCUUAACGGUGGAUCUGCGCCGGGUACGGGCGGGCUGGAGUGCGGUAGGGGAGACUGGAAUUCCCGGUGUAACGGUGGAAUGUGUAGAUAUCGGGAAGAACACCAAUGGCGAAGGCAGGUCUCUGGGCCGUUACUGACGCUGAGGAGCGAAAGCGUGGGGAGCGAACAGGAUUAGAUACCCUGGUAGUCCACGCCGUAAACGGUGGAUGCUGGAUGUGGGGCCCGUUCCACGGGUUCCGUGUCGGAGCUAACGCGUUAAGCAUCCCGCCUGGGGAGUACGGCCGCAAGGCUAAAACUCAAAGAAAUUGACGGGGGCCCGCACAAGCGGCGGAGCAUGCGGAUUAAUUCGAUGCAACGCGAAGAACCUUACCUGGGCUUGACAUGUUCCCGACCGCGGCAGAGAUGUCGUUUCCCUUCGGGGCGGGUUCACAGGUGGUGCAUGGUCGUCGUCAGCUCGUGUCGUGAGAUGUUGGGUUAAGUCCCGCAACGAGCGCAACCCUCGCCCUGUGUUGCCAGCACGUCAUGGUGGGAACUCACGGGGGACCGCCGGGGUCAACUCGGAGGAAGGUGGGGAUGACGUCAGAUCAUCAUGCCCCUUACGUCCAGGGCUUCACGCAUGCUACAAUGGCCGGUACAACGGGAUGCGAC
rnacentral:rRNA from 1 species